GGGAUCACGUGAGAAAACCACACACGAAAAAUGUUCGCAUAAGAUACGGCAAAAAUGUAAAGGUAAUGUCGCUGUUGUGGCCUUGAAGCAUUGAAGAUGCUAGGGAUCACCAGAUCUCCAGAUCCAGUGAGAAAACCACACACGAAAAAUUUUCGCAUAAGAGACAAGUAAGGUUGUCUGAACCUAAUUAUUCGUCUAUUAAUGUAAAACUAUUAUCUGUAUUUUUUAAUUUUUACCAGUUUAAUUUUGGAUGCUUUCUAUUUUGCGAUAAGCAUGUUUUCUUGGAUUGAAGGAAAGCAACAAAAGUAAAAUGAAAGUAAUGUAUCAAUGCAAAUUGCUAUACCUAACUGUAUUUCUACGCAAUAGAAUAAUCUGUGGAUGAACGAAAAUACUCUUCUAUCAAUGUGAAACUAUUAACUGUAUUUUGUUGUUGUGGCUAAUAUUCAAAUUUGUAAUUGCGUAUAGAAUUUUUGUUAAGAGCACAUUGCGAAACACUUUGAUUGAUCGAGAACAAAAUGAAAGGGCAAAAGCCACAGCGGGAACAUGUAAGGAAUAUAAAAUAAUAAGUGCAGUUUUUUAGUUAAAGGUUUGUGUUUUAUCUCAGUCACACAUCAUUGCGACAACGGCAAAAAUGCUGAAAAUGUUAAUUUCGAUUUUUAGACCGUAGUUAUAAGUUAUAUUUUAAUUUAUUUGUUAUCCAUUUAAUUAGUUUUAGAUUAGUAGCAAGUAACUCUUGUUGUUGAAAAUUUACAUCAGUAAAUACUUAAAUAUAUGAAUAAACUAAUAAGA